GUUUUGAAAACGGUGUUGAUACAGUGGAAGGCUUGUGGUGUUGCUGGCCCUUGAUCGCUGGAAGGAUUCCGAGGUGUAGUUUUCGAAGCGGGAGUUUUGUUCGCAUUGGGCGCUUAGCGUCUGUUACUGUCGCUAACGGGAGAUUGUCAACGUGUUUGCAUUGGGCCAUUUGCAUCAGUUGGGACCGUUGUUACUGACCUCCUAGGUUGUGUGUUGCGUUUACACGCUUAAAUCCGGGUUUCACGGUCUCUUAGUACUCGCGUAUUUAAGCUCAUCGCGCGUACCUUACUUCUACGCGUUCACGUCGGUUCGUCCGGGCCUAUCAGCGCCGCUGCUUUUAAAUUGGCCGUGUGCGCUUUACGUUUGCACCUUUACGUCGGAUCACUGGGGUCCAUCAGCGCCGUAGUUUUUGAGCUGGCCGGGCGUGCUUUCGAGCGCUUAGUUGCUUUCGGUUUCACUUGGUUGCGGCGUGACGAUCAUUGAGUUAAAGGUUACUGCACUCACUUCAGUCGCCAUCGGUCUCCGUAAUCUGACUGCCCUUUGCUAUUACUUGCUUCACUCACAUACGAUAUGCGGACGGUCCUAUUUAAGUUGAGCGCCCAUACUUCACUAUCCCAAGUGGGACUGCUUUUUCAUUUACGUGUCUCUAUCCGAGGCAGUAUAAACAUCUUUCCAUUCAAGUUUACCGCAUGUGUUUCACUAUCGAGAGUCGGACUGCUUUUGGAUUUACGUGGCUUUGUGGGAUGCGGUAUGAAGAUCGUUGCAUUCAAGUUUACCGCCUCUACUUCACUGCAGAAUCUGACUGCCGUCAGAUCUGUAUGACAGAUUGUUGCAUUCGUUUUCUGCGGGUACGUCACUAUCCAGUCUACUUUUUCCAUUGACGUGGCUGAGUCAUAUGUAGUAUGACUGUCAGAGACGUUGGAACCUGAAGCGACCCCAUUUUGAGUGAGGGCUAGAAAAAUGAGGCCGGGACUUACGGGCCUGCAUUCUCAGAAGGAUAUUCCUAGCUUUCAGAUACUUACGGUUAAGGGAACAAAUUAAUGUUUACUGAAGAGACCCGAGUGUCCAGAUAGCUGGAUAUCUGGAGAACAAAGGCGUUCCUAAUUUUGCUUUAAAGGUAGUAAUAGGGAUUCUUGCAAAAUGUAAUAAUUAAAGUUAAUUAUCACAAACCCUUGUAACAGAACACCUCUCCCCAUGUGUACAAGCAUUGUACCUAGGGUGGAUACGUUCCUUCUCUUAGUUUCAGGAACGCCCUUCUCUGUCUGUGGAGUAGCUGUUCUUUCACCACUUUACUUUCUUAAUAAACUUGCUUUUAUUUUGC
rnacentral:lncRNA from 10 species